rnacentral:rRNA from 1 species
AUUGAACGCUGGCGGCAUGCCUUACACAUGCAAGUCGAACGGCAGCGGACCUUCGGGUGCCGGCGAGUGGCGAACGGGUGAGUAAUAUAUCGGAACGUACCUUUCAGUGGGGGAUAACGUAGCGAAAGUUACGCUAAUACCGCAUAUUCUGUGAGCAGGAAAGCAGGGGAUCGCAAGACCUUGCGCUGAUUGAGCGGCCGAUAUCAGAUUAGCUAGUUGGUGAGGUAAAGGCUCACCAAGGCGACGAUCUGUAGCGGGUUUGAGAGGAUGAUCCGCCACACUGGAACUGAGACACGGCCCAGACUCCUACGGGAGGCAGCAGUGGGGAAUCUUAGACAAUGGGGGAAACCCUGAUCCAGCCAUGCCGCGUGAGCGAUGAAGGCCUUAGGGUUGUAAAGCUCUUUCAGAUGGGAAGAUAAUGACGGUACCAUCGGAAGAAGCCCCGGCUAACUCCGUG